CAUGCGACAAGUUUGCUCCACAUUUUGACUCUGCGCCGCCGUGCUUCACCCUCGCCCCUCGCCUCGUCACGAAGGAGUCAUCGCCAUUAGCAUCAUCGGAAUGUCGUUGGAACCGUUGCAAGACGUUUGAACGGUCUCCGCGCUCGCUCGUCCAUUUGUGAACAAAGGAGGCCGUGAUUUUGCGUCGUAUGGGCGGCUGCAGUGUUGCGUCCCGUCAGGCCAUGAAAGAAGGAAGGAGGAUAUGAUUUUGCGUCGUAAUGGGUUUUUGUUGUUUGUUCGGAGCAGCGGCUGCAGUGUUGCGUCCCGUCAGGCUCUACUUUGUUGAACACUAAGCUGGACACAUAUCUCUCCAGCGCUUCAGAGACGUCGCUGGCGCCGAAAUUCUAGCUGUUUCACCGUGGGUCGCCAGAAGAACAGCAGAUCAUUGACUCUAUUGUGCGACGCGA